GAAAGCGGCGGAUCCUGCGGAUGCCCGAUACCGUCAGAUCUUGGAAGCUAGAGAGGGCUAGGCCAGGUUAGUACUUGGAUGGCAGAGCACCUUGGAAGACCAGGGGUCAUUAGCC
rnacentral:rRNA from 12 species